UCUCCGUAGGUGAACCUGCGGAGGGAUCAUUACAGAGUUUUUGCCCGUAAGGGUAGAUCUCCCACCCUGUGUUAUACCAUCUCUGUUGCUUUGGCGGGCCGUCGGGCCCUGGUCCGGCUACCGGCUUCGGCUGGUAAGCGCCCGCCAGAGGACCCCCAACCCUGAAUGUCAGUGUCGUCUGAGCACUAUAUAAUAGUUAAAACUUUCAACAACGGAUCUCUUGGUUCUG
rnacentral:misc_RNA from 1 species